UACAGAGGGUGCAAGCGUUGUUCGGAAUUAUUGGGCGUAAAGCGCGUGUAGGCGGCUUUGCAAGUCGGGUGUGAAAGCCCUCGGCUCAACCGAGGAAGUGCGCCCGAAACUGCAGAGCUUGAGUGCCGGAGAGGAUGGCGGAAUUCUCGGUGUAGAGGUGAAAUUCGUAGAUAUCGAGAGGAACACCGGUGGCGAAGGCGGCCUUCUGGACAGUGACUGACGCUGAGACGCGAAAGCGUGGGGAGCAAACAGG
rnacentral:rRNA from 1 species